CCUACGGGAGGCUGCAGUGGGGAAUAUUGGACAAUGGGGGCAACCCUGAUCCAGCCAUGCCGCGUGUGUGAAUAAGGCCCUCGGGUUGUAAAGCACUUUCAGUGAGGAAGAACGCCUGGUGGUUAAUACCCAUCAGGAAAGACAUCACUCACAGAAGAAGCACCGGCUAACUCCGUGCCAGCAGCCGCGGUAAUACGGAGGGUGCGAGCGUUAAUCGGAAUUACUGGGCGUAAAGCGCGCGUAGGUGGCUUGAUAAGCCGGUUGUGAAAGCCCCGGGCUCAACCUGGGAACGGCAUCCGGAACUGUCAAGCUAGAGUGCAGGAGAGGAAGGUAGAAUUCCCGGUGUAGCGGUGAAAUGCGUAGAGAUCGGGAGGAAUACCAGUGGCGAAGGCGGCCUUCUGGACUGACACUGACACUGAGGUGCGAAAGCGUGGGUAGCAAACAGGAUUAGAUACCCGUGUAGUC
rnacentral:rRNA from 1 species